AUCUGGAAGCACCGUGAGGUGUGGAGGUGACCGGUACUAAUAGGCCGAGGGCUUGUCCUCAGUUG
rnacentral:rRNA from 1 species